GACGAACGCUGGCGGCGUGCCUAACACAUGCAAGUCGAACGGAGUAAGAGGCUUCGGCCUUUUAUUUAGUGGCGAACGGGUGAGUAACGCGUGAGGAACCUGCCUCUCAGUGGGGGACAACAGUUGGAAACGACUGCUAAUACCGCAUAAUGUUUCUGGACCGCAUGAUCUGGAAACCAAAGCUUUAUGUGCUGAGAGAUGGUCUCGCGUCUGAUUAGCUAGAUGGCGGGGUAACGGCCCACCAUGGCGACGAUCAGUAGCCGGUCUGAGAGGAUGAACGGCCACAUUGGAACUGAGAAACGGUCCAGACUCCUACGGGAGGCAGCAGUGGGGAAUAUUGGGCAAUGGGCGAAAGCCUGACCCAGCAACGCCGCGUGAGGGAAGAAGGGUUUCGGACUCGUAAAACCUCUGUCCUAUGGGACGAAGAAGUGACGGUACCAUAGGAGGAAGCCCCGGCUAACUACGUG
rnacentral:rRNA from 1 species